GACUUUUCUUGACCUAGUUAUAUCACCUUGAUCAGAUUGUAGAUCAUACAACCAUCCUCUUUAUAGAGAUGUCCUGUCCCAUUAUUUAAAGGAAAGCUGAGCAGAGAGAUCAGAAAAAAUGCUGAAGUGGACAGAUCUUGUGAGUGUUUUUCAGAUACAUUCCUGGUUGUUAGGAACACAAGAAUGACCCUUCAGACCAGUAAGGCAGAUGGAUGUAUUUUACAUUUGAACAUGAAGUGUAAGUGGUGAUUAAGAAGAUAAGUAGAACUUUUGUGAGUUGAUAUACUUAAUAUAUUCUUGGUGGUAAUCAGAGAUAAAUACUUCCUUAGAUGGAUCUGAUUGGAAAACCUGGGCAGUAAGAGUAGUUAUUGAGAGUUAUAUCUCUGAGCUCAGAAUACAAAGUAAAAAUAAAAUUUAGGGCAAAGAAAUUUACCCACGAGGUGCAAGGCAGGAUCACAGUGGCAGAGACACUUGUUUAACCCAUAAGAUCCUUUAGCUAUGAAAACUUUCCACUUGCAAAACAUAAACUUUCAUAUGGAUAAUGAUAGAUUUGAGUUUUUACAUUGCUUUAGAACCUGAUUAUAAAGCUGGCAUAGACUUAGUCCCCAC
rnacentral:lncRNA from 1 species